rnacentral:pre_miRNA from 1 species
AUUCCCUGCCCACAAUGAGCUCACAGUCUACAGGGGCAGACAGACAGUAAUAUGAAUGAACAAAUUACAGCUAUCCUCUAGACUGUAAGCUUGUUGUGGUCAGGAAAU